UACGUAGGGUGCGAGCGUUGUCCGGAAUUAUUGGGCGUAAAGAGCUUGUAGGCGGUCUGUCGCGUCUGCUGUGAAAAUCCGGGGCUCAACCCCGGACUUGCAGUGGGUACGGGCAGACUAGAGUGUGGUAGGGGAGACUGGAAUUCCUGGUGUAGCGGUGAAAUGCGCAGAUAUCAGGGAGGAACACCCGGUGGCGGAAGGCGGCUCUCUGGGACG
rnacentral:rRNA from 1 species